UAAAAGCAAAAUUGCAACAUGAACUUGUCUA
rnacentral:piRNA from 1 species